ACCGGCUCCUAUCGAAGCCGCUCCUGCUCCUCCACCGUAGCAGGGGGCGGUCAAACGGACGCCGAGAUCGUCCUCUUUCACCGACGGUCGCUGUUCAGUUCUCAAAUAACUGUCUUCAGCAACAUUAAGGGGAAGGACAAAU